rnacentral:rRNA from 1 species
GGAGUUCAUCGUCAAAGUAUCUAGUAUUAGUGGAAGUUAUGAUAUGGUUAUAAUCCUCGUGGUUAGUAAAUUAUACAUUCUUGUACUAUUUUGCUGGGUACGACGGCGUGCACUUCUCCUCUAGUAGAACGUCGCGACCCGUUGGAUGUUGAUCUAUGGCCUGAAUGGUUGACUUUGAUUUUGCUUGCAUUAUCGAAGACCUUCAGUAUUCUGAUCAUCUGUCCGACGGUAUACAUAUGAUAUACAGUCGCUAUUAUAUGCGUUAAAUCCACUGCAAGUGUUGUUAAUAUUCGGCAGUACGGAUCUGAUGCCGUCGCUGAUGUUGACUCACUGUUGGCAAGUGGUAUUCUUUAACUGACUUAAUACCUGUCAGCGAUGCUACUGCUUUGGGUACUUUCAGGACCCGUCUUGAAACACGGACCAAGGAGUCUAACAUGUACGCGAGUCAUUGGGAUUAUAAAAACAAACCUAAAGGCACAAUGAAAGUGAAAAUUGUUGUAUGACAAUUUAAGGGAAGACGAGUUACGUUACGAUGUAAUUCCGCAUUCCCGGGGCG